GACGAACCGUCCAAACGUUAUUCGGAAUCUCUGGGCUUACAGAGUUCGUAGGCGGUCUGGAAAGUUGGGUGUGAAAUCCCUCGGCUCAACCGAGGAACUGCGCUUGAAACUACCAGACUCGAGGGAGAUAGAGGAAAGCGGAACUGAUGGUGGAGCGGUGAAAUGCGUUGAUAUCAUCAGGAACACCGGUGGCGAAGGCGGCUUUCUGGGUCUUACCUGACGCUGAGGAACGAAAGCCAGGGGAGCGAACGGG
rnacentral:rRNA from 1 species